CCUACGGGAGGCAGCAGUGGGGAAUCUUGCGCAAUGGGCGAAAGCCUGACGCAGCAACGCCGCGUGCGGGAAGAAGGCCUUCGGGUCGUAAACCGCUUUCAGCAGGAACGAAAAUGACGGUACCUGCAGAAGAAGGUGCGGCCAACUACGUGCCAGCAGCCGCGGUGACACGUAGGCACCAAGCGUUGUCCGGAUUCAUUGGGCGUAAAGAGCUCGUAGGCGGUUCAGCAAGUCGGGUGUGAAAACUCUGGGCUUAACCCAGAGCCUGCAUCCGAAACUGCUGUGACUUGAGUUCGGUAGGGGAGCGGGGAAUUCCUGGUGUAGCGGUGAAAUGCGCAGAUAUCAGGAGGAACACCGGUGGCGAAGGCGCCGCUCUGGGCCGACACUGACGCUGAGGAGCGAAAGCAUGGGUAGCAAACAGGAUUAGAUACCCUGGUAGUCCAUGCCGUAAACGUUGGGCACUAGGUGUGGGUUUCAACUAACGAGAUCCGCGCCGUCGCUAACGCAUUAAGUGCCCCGCCUGGGGAGUACGGUCGCAAGACUAAAACUCAAAGGAAUUGACGG
rnacentral:rRNA from 1 species